UGCCUCUCGCUCGCUUUGAACCCUCUCUGCCGUGAGUGUUAACCAAAGAUUCUAGAGUGCUACGCUCAUUUUUAAAAGAUGCAUUUAAUCCAAAGUCAUGUCUAGUGAGACAGCUCUCUAUGUAGGGAGGGAGGCAGUAGGCAGCUGUCUCCCGUUUGGAACACACCCCUCGUCUUCUCAGCAGUGUACAUAUGUACUCCUAGAUUCUCUUGAUGCCAGCAACCACAGCUGUGUUUGGAAUUGCUCAUCAUCUGACGAGUGUGCAAGUCAUCUGGUGGAGUGAGUGCAGAACAGGUUCCAGAAUCUCUGACCAGACUGUACACUUUCAGUGUGCUGGUGACUGGUGCUGGUGGUGUUAUGUACACAGUGCCAGAGUGUAGAAACAGAUGUGUGAGCUUGUCCAAGAGGCCACUGGAGGUCAGUCCCUCUUGCUCCGAUGGGAAAGGAGGACAGCUUUGUGUCAGGCGCUUCCCACUGUCAUUAGCUGACUCAUCUGUUAAACACACAGGGAGCUGAAACAGGAGACAGGAAGCACAACAACAACUGGAAGUCUUAAGAAAUCACCAGUAGGCCGCCACCUCGGAUGGAAUUCAUAUUCAAGAUUCCCAAUCCCCUUGGGGAUCAAUAAAGUAUAUCUAUCUAUCUAUCUAUCUAU